rnacentral:tRNA from 1 species
AUUUAAAUAGCUUAUAUUAGAGUGUGACAUUGAAGCUGUUAAGGAGGUAUUUAACCUUUAAAUA